UACACUUAGUGAGUUGCUUCCUCCCUUCUCAUACUGCUGAGUCUACAUUUAAGCAUUCAUUCUUCACAGGAGGACCGACACGACAGAUUGACCUAUCCGCUGAUGCGAAUUGACAAAGAGGACUCAAAGGCCAUAACUGCGGUGUUGGAGAACCACUUAUUUGAGGUGACGGACGGAUUGGGCACUUCAUUGAUUUGAAGUACGAUAUAAAGUCUGCCUUGGCUUUGGAUCUCAUCACAAAUGCAUUCUGUCAGUUCCUCAAGGCUCUUCUCACAUCAUGUGGUGACAUUUGCGUCCAGUGUUAUAUAGCCCUGUCACAUGGAAGAGGUGGAGGAGACCAGCUUACUAAAAAGAAACACUGCCUCUAUUGCUGUCAUCAACAGCCAGCUGGCUGAAAUCAAGCCACCACACAGCUCCACGAGACUCCCAAGGGC